rnacentral:rRNA from 1 species
CGGCGAGCGGCGGACGGCUGAGUAACGCGUGGGAAUCUGCCCCAAGGUGAGGGAUAACUGCCCGAAAGGGUAGCUAAUACCGCAUAUGGUCUUCGGAUUAAAGCAUUUAUGCGCUUUGGGAGGAGCCCGCGUCGGAUUAGGUAGUUGGUAGGGUAAUGGCCUACCAAGCCGACGAUCCGUAGCUGGUCUGAGAGGAUGAUCAGCCAGACUGGGACUGAGACACGGCCCAG